UACAGAGGUCUCAAGCGUUGUUCGGAAUCACUGGGCGUAAAGGGUGCGUAGGCCGCACGGUAAGUCAGAGGUGAAAUCCCGGGGCUCAACCCCCGGAAUGGCCUCCGAUACUGCCGUGCUCGAGGACUGGAGAGGAGUCUGGAAUUCACAGUGGAGCAGUGAAAUGCGUGGAUAUUGUGAGGACACUAGUGGCGAAGGCGAGACUCUGGACAGUUCCUGGCGCUGAGGCACGAAGGCCAGGGGAGCAAACGGG
rnacentral:rRNA from 1 species